rnacentral:tRNA from 1 species
GCGCCGGUUAGCUCAGUCAGUUGAGCGUAGCGCUAAAAACACCAAGGUCGUGGGUUCGAUUCCCAUUCGGUCCC